rnacentral:lncRNA from 1 species
ACAGACCUCAAAACAAACUGUUAACUGAUUGCUUUCUUCCUCAAAGGCUCACUUUGAGCAGAGGGAAGAUGGCUUAAGUGUCCAGCUUCUGAAAUAUCUUUGCAAAAUGCACAGCUGACAAAGUUCAGGAAGGCUGGAGAAUGAAGACUGCUAAGCAAAAUCUGUCAGCAGACUCCAGAUUAACCUAGCACUCCAUUAAAAGGGUUCCUUGGUUAGUAAAAAGAUGUUUCAAAAGAAUUAUUAUUUAAGGAACUUCAUAAUCAAUCAUGCUGAUGGAUGGUUUCAUAUUUCUGGGAGAGGACUGUUUCAGUACUGUGACAGGGCAAAAAGGAACAACAGAAAAUUCGGCUGUGAGCCACUUGGCACAGUGUUUCAGCAUAUGCUGCUCUGCAUCACAGUUUUGGAAGGACAGAAAGCUCUUAGGAAAGUAAAUGGACAGAAUCAAUCUCAUAUGAGGCAGCCAAAGGCAUAAAUGCCAUUUUCAUCUUAAGAUUUUUUCAGUAAAAAAAUCUGAUUCUCCCCAUUAGGCAGCAGUCUUUGCUAAUAAAUGUAACACGUUUUGUUCAAGCUUUCAUGGAGUAAUAUUGAAGUGGCAGAUUUCCUUACUGAGAAUGUCCUGAGCAAGUACUGAAUUAACUGCAGUUACAGACUGGGCCACAAACUCUUGCACAUAGAAGGAUUCAGAAUUAAGCUAUGGCUCAACUACACAGUUUUCACUCAGUGCAAAUGAUUAUGGUCUUUAGAGAGGAGAUAUUCUUCAUCUGACAAUCUGCUCCAUGGCCACUGUAAUGCUAGUGACACUGGUCUUUAAUGAAGCCAGUGCCACUUCAGGAUCCAUCUGGAGUGAUGAAGGUCAGCUACAUCAUUCUCAACGUGCCUCCUACCAGCACAGACCCAAAGGGGGAAAACUAAUGGCUCAUCAGUGGCACAGAUGUGCCUGCAGGAAAAUGUUCCACUGGUUAUUUAUGGUUGGAUAAAACAAUUUACAGAGUCUCAGUGGAGCCAAAGGGCUAUAACCAGACUUGAGAAUCUAUUUUCUUUUUUAAUCUCCACGGGAAUUUCCAUAUACUGUAGCUACAUUGCAUUCACAGAAUGUCUCCCUCAAAGAAAAAGCUGUUUCAUCCAAACCCAUUGUUUGAAAGAGGUUUCUAGAGGGGGUUUUCUACAGAAUAUUUCCCACUAAAAGAUCUUGUGUUCAGAGUAAUCUACCCAUUUAGUUGGGGCAAAAGAAUACAAGAACUAUUAAAGAGAAUUAGAUAAAAGGGACAACUACCCAGUGUCUUCAACAGUCAUCAGAAAUACCUGAUGAACAUACAGUUUAAUAUUAAUGUUACUCAAGCAAUAUAUUCUAAUGUAUACAAAGGUAUUUUUGAAACAAUUUUCCAUCAGAAGAAGGGGGGGUUCUGUAUUUUCAAUUUUGAAGAGAUUAAGGACAGAAGAGCACAACACUUCCCAUGUGACAAAUUUCCUUUUUCAGAUAAUUUCUGCAAAAAGCAAGGAUUUGUCUUUGGAUCCUUAGCAAGGAUUUCUCUUUAAUGACUGUAAAUUGAAGUUAAUCAGAAGAAAAGACUAGGUGAACCUUGAGAUGGACAAAGCUAAGGUAUUCAGAAGAUGCAAAGAAAAGAUGGAAAGAGAACACAGAGAAGUCAGCACACAAAUGAAGCGCGAGGUUGGGAAUAAACUGAAAAAAGAUGGUUAAAACUUAAGUAAACUCUUCCUGAUUGUGGUCUCAAGUAUUUUUUCUGUCUUAAACCUCCAAACAUAAUUUAUUAAGUAUUCUCAUUACAGCUACAUGCUAGUCUUAGUACAUGAUUUAAUAAUAUUCUUUAAAAAAUUAGUUGCUUAACUUUCAUAAGACAUUUCCCCCCCUAUUUGAGUUGUGGAAAAUGAUCAUAUUCCUUAAAUGACUUCAUAUAUUUAGGAAACUUUCUACACACAGGUGCGUUAACAUUGAAUUAAUCUAUUUGUCUUCAUAUUAUUUGUCAUACACAAAACAGAGUAUAACUUUUAAAUUAAAAAUAUAAAAUGUGUGUCUCAAAAGUGUUUUACACAAAUUUAAGCACCCCUGUCAUAAAGGGAAUCGUCAUUUCCUUCAGCUACUACAUCAUAAGGUUUAUACUAAGAAAUAAAAUAUUUUCCUGAUUUCAGUAUCCAUUCUGCAUUAUCUGUCUCUAAAACAUCAAGAUAGAUCCUGACACUUGUGCCAUCAUAUGUAAAGAAAGGAUUUUUAUAUUAUUUCUCAAAUUCUGUAAUUUAAAAUACUGUCCAAAUCCUCUGUUGUGUUGUUUUAAUUUAC